AUUUUUUAUUUUUAAUAUUGGAGUGGUAGUGGUGUUUUUUUAAAAUGUGGAUUGUUGGGGUGUUAUACUCAAAUGUGGGAUCGUUUAAUUAGAGAAGCAAAAAUCGGACCGUCCGAUUUAUUAGAGGUACAGAAAUCGGACCGUGCGAUUUCUAGAGGUACACAAAUCAGACUGUCCGAUUUGUAGAGGUAUAGAAAUCGGACCGUCCGAUUUGUGGGAGGUACACAAAUCGGACCGUCCGAUUUGUGAGAAGUACACAAAUCGGGCCCUCCGAUUUGUGUUAAAAAAUUUUGAAAAAACCCAUAGUACACAACUCGGACCAUGCGAGUUCUUUGGUCAUGAAAUUUUGCUUCACAAAUCGCAUGGUACUAUUUGCAGCUGAUGGAAUUUGAAAUCUGAAACAUGGAAUUCGAACCCUCUGGAUAAUUUUUUUUUACAUUCUGAGGCAUAACUCGCAGGGUCCGAGUUCUGGUCCGAGUUCUGCUUCCUCUGAUCCCACAACGAGGUGAAGCACCCCUUCUCCCCAUACGCGAGUUCAAUACUUUCUUUGGUUUCAUAUUCAAAUUAAAAACUCGUAGAUUGG